rnacentral:rRNA from 1 species
GACGAACGCUGGCGGCGUGCCUAAUACAUGCAAGUAGAACGCUGAAGGAGGAGCUUGCUUCUCCGGAUGAGUUGCGAACGGGUGAGUAACGCGUAGGUAACCUGCCUGGUAGCGGGGGAUAACUAUUGGAAACGAUAGCUAAUACCGCAUAACAGUAGAUAUUGCAUGAUAUCUGCUUGAAAGGUGCAAUUGCAUCACUACCAGAUGGACCUGCGUUGUAUUAGCUAGUUGGUGGGGUAACGGCUCACCAAGGCGACGAUACAUAGCCGACCUGAGAGGGUGAUCGGCCACACUGGGACUGAGACACGGCCCAGACUCCUACGGGAGGCAGCAGGAGGGAAUCUUCGGCAAUGGACGGAAGUCUGACCGAGCAACGCCGCGGGAGUGAAGAAGGUUUUCGGAUCGGAAAGCUCUGUUGUAAGAGAAGAACGAGUGUGAGAGUGGAAAGUUCACACUGUGACGGUAUCUUACCAGAAAGGGACGGCUAACUACGUG